GUACCGAUAGGUCAACAGGAUGAGCCCUUGCCCUUGGCGCGGCGGCCGCGAGUUCGAGCCUAGCCUGUGGCAUUUUACCACCGUUCUUCGACAUUUUCUCAAAGUGCUGUGGUCUCCGUCCCCCCACUUUUAAAAACAAACUGACGCCCUUGGCUAUAUGCAUCUCACAGAUGUCCAGGGCGAAGACGUGCAGGACUUUACACAGAAACGGUGGGAAACUUACACAACCUGCGUUAGACAGUGGCUUUCUCCGGUUGCAGAAGGCUGUUGAGCUGAAGGAGGACACCAGCGUGCUUUUGCACAUUAAAGAAAAAGACUGUGUAGCCCUGGAGGUGCGGUACCACAGGACCUGUUACGCACAGUCCACAAAGUUUUUGUCAAGGCCUAUGGAAACAAGUACUGCAACCCCAGAUGAAGCAACUGAAACACCAUUCACUGACAGCUACAAUUUCUUCUGUGAGACUGUCAUCCGUCAAAGGAUUAUAGUUGACUAGGAAGUGCUGCGAAUGGACAAGCUAAGAAAGACAUUUGUGGACAUAGUGAAGAAUCAAGAGGGUCUUGAUGCUUCAGAAUACAGGCAGGAUCUACUGAAGAGGCGGCUGACUGUGACUUCCCACAGCUCACUUUCCACUGCCCUGCCAAGAGAAACAUCAGUGAACUUGUUUUUGUUGAGACACUGUCAGCUGAUAGACUAUUACAAAAGAUACCUCCACAGUCAGGUACAUCUACUGAGUCCACUGAGGUAAGCCAAGCUGAAAGCCAAACUGAAAGUGACAGUGAACACAUGGCUAGCACAACAUCUGGACAGAAUACUCCUGAUGUCACAAGGACACUGUACAGUGCAGGCUUGAUCUUAAAGAGGGUUCUCAGUGACUCUCCAGGUAUGACAUGCCCCUGGCCUCCCAUCGCUGACAAUUUAAAUGUGUCUGAUGCUCAAUCUGUUGUGCCAGAAGAACUAUAUAAUCUAAUUGCAUGGAUUAUAGGGGCAUCAGAUGAGGCAACAGGAGUGGGUUAUGUCGAUAUUCCCGAUGAUGUUAGGCUAAAAGUUCUAUCUGUUUGUCAAGACAUUGUUUACCUUGCAUCUAAAGGUCGAAAGCAGACACCAAAGUCAUUGUGCCUUGGGUUAACUGUACGCCAUUUAACAGGAUCAUCUAAUCUUUUGUCAUUGCUGAAUAGACUAGGACAUUGUGCUUCAUGGAACACAGUACUCAGUCUAGACACUAGCCUAGCUGAACUACAACUGCUAGAGAAUAGAGACAAAAUCCCAAAGGGUUUCUCAAAGAAGGUGCCUACAAUACUGGUGUGGGACAACAUUGAUUUUGGGGAGGAGACACUGUCUGGUGGUGGAACCACUCACCAUACAAAUGGCAUUAUCCUACAAAGUUCUGUCACUGAAAUGAGUCAGGAUCAGACAGACCGCCGCUACAGAAGGCAGUUUACACAUUCAAAGCACCUCCUAGCAUCCCUGUAGAACACUACCAACAGUCUAAAAGACAAGGGCCACAGAGGUUCUCACAAGGAAAGUGUUCCAUUGCAGGCAGAAACAUACAGGUUGAAUACGGUGUCGGCUGCCAAAACUGAACUGGCAUAUGUUUUAUUGAAGUAUGCAGAUGCUGAAGCAUGCACAGUGCCAAGCUGGACAGGUUUCCAUGCAAUGCUUCAAUGUAAUGCGACUUUGCAAAAGUCAGCAUUGUAUUAUCUUCCAGUCAUUGAGGCUUCACCGACAGAGAUGUCAACUGUGAACACAAUUCUGAAGAGAAGUGUUGCAGUUGCUGAUCAGCUAGAACUGGACCAGGUAGUAUUAGUUUUUGACCAAGCUAUAUAUGCCAAAGCUCAACAAAUCCGCUGGAAAAUGACGAUUUCAUGAAGCGGCUAGUGAUUCGACUAGGUGAGUUUCAUACAUGCAUGUCUUUCCUAGGUAUUUUAGGAAAAAGGUUUGGUGAUGCAGGAUUGCAAGAUUUACUCAUUGAGUCAGAAGUUGUUGCCCCAGGAUCCAUCACUGGGGUGAUCAGUGGUCAUCAGUACAACCGCAGCAUGAGGGCACACAAACUUAUGUAUGAGAGUCUGCAACGUAUUUGUAUGUGUAUUAAUCUAUAUUUUCAU